rfam:Cavia porcellus supercont2_0 genomic scaffold, whole genome shotgun sequence.
AGCCUUUUUAUGGCUUGUAAGGGUGAUGAGUGGGUUGUCAUGCAAUUGAAGUGUGCCUCCUUGAAGCCUUGUUAAAAGAUCUUCACUCUGUCCUUAUGAGA